rnacentral:rRNA from 1 species
GUGUCAGCCGCCGCGGUAAUACGGAGGGUGCAAGCGUUAAUCGGAAUUACUGGGCGUAAAGAGUGCGUAGGCGGUUUGAUAAGCGGAGUGUGAAAUCCCCGGGCUUAACCUGGGAACUGCAUUCCGAACUGUCAAGCUAGAGUAUGAUAGAGGGUGGUGGAAUUCCGAGUGUAGCGGUGAAAUGCGUAGAUAUUCGGAGGAACACCAGUGGCGAAGGCGACCACCUGGAUCAAUACUGACGCUGAGGCACGAAAGCGUGGGGAGCAAACAGGAUUAGAAACCCGAGUAGUCC